UUACAUUAUCAUAGGCAGAAUUUAUAUCUAAAAAGGCUGAGAGGAUUGACAAAUUUUGUGAGAAAGCUAUAUGAAUAUCUGAAAUAAGAAUGCUCACAUUAUCUAAGGUGCUCUUACCUUUCCUAAAACCAAACUGGUUCGGGGAUAGUAAGUUAUUACUUUCUAAAAACCAUUCUAGACGGUUUUUCACUAAAUGUUCAGCUAGCUUUAGUAAGACAGAGGAAAGUGCAACAGGACGGUAUGAAGAUGGUUCAGAAGGUGGUUUAUGAGGCUUUAGAAAUGGUAUAAUAAUCUGAGACUUCCAUGAAGUAGGUAUAUUUCCCGAAAUAAUUAUGGAAUUAAUUAUAUUUAAAAAGUAAAUUAAUGUCGCAUCGCUAGCAUUUUUAAAAAAGGAAUACGGUAUACCGUCUUCUCCCGGUGCAGAGUCUUUAAUAGAAGCUAGAACACCUUUAAGUUCUACUAGAGUAAAAGGAGAGUCAAGUUCGAAUAAUUCGUCAGAGACGGAUAGAGAAAUAUUGUAAAGGCAUUCCGGCACAUAACUAGGAGCAAGACGAUCUAAAAAUUUAUUCGCUAAAGUUAAAUCGAGUGCAGAACGUGAUGUAUGAUCACUAAAGGCAGAUCUGAAUCUUUUAAUAUUAUUCCAAACGACUGAUGAAUUAACUUCUGGACAGAUAGAAGAACAAAAUCUUCUCCAGCCUUCUAAUUUCUUUUUUUUCAGUAGUUUUCGAGUAGAACGUGAAACUGCGGUGUAAAUUUCAAAAUUUUCUGGUGUCAUGUAAUUAUUAUAAUUUUUUUCAGCCUCUUUACGAUUUUUAAUUGCUUCCGUACAAUCUUUGUCCCACCAAGGUGGCGAGGGAAUUUUCCCUGAAGCACUAUUUUUAACAGGAAAUAAUAAAUCAGCAACCUCCUUCAUAUUUAUCAUCAAGUCAUUACAACAUUGAUGUUCAUUUCCAUGGUAAACAAUAGGUAACUCCGAUAUUUUAUUAUCUAAAUAUUGUUUGUAAAUAUUCCAGUCUACAUUUGAUAAAUUAUAUUUAAGCCGAGGACCACUCUUUCGACUUGAGGGAAUGGAAAUUGGAAAAGAAAGAAUGAGGGGAAAGUGAUCGCUUCCGAAAGUAGAGGAAUGAGGAUACCACGACAGUGAAGAAGCUAAAUCAGAAGAACAUAUUGAAAUGUCAGGAGCACUAAACCCUUCAUUCGGUGCAGUUCUACGUGUUGGUACAUCUGAGUUAAUAAUACAUAAGUUGUAAGUGUCAAUUAUCGUCAGGAGUUUUCCACCAUAAAAAUUAGAAGUAGAACUGCCCCACGAUUGGUGUUGAGCAUUAAAAUCGCCCAUUACGAGAAAAGGUUUAGGUAAAAUUGAAAAUAAUUGUUCUAGUUGUGAAUAUAUUUGGCAUGUAGGAUCAGGAAUAUAUAAAGUAACAAAACAGAUACCAUUUAUAAUUAUAGCAGCUGCAUUAAUGCCGCUAUAUACAGGAAGCGAAAAAGAAGAAAAAGGAAGGGAGUUUUUGACCAAUAUGGCAACACCGCCAUAUCCGUCAGCUCUAUCAUCUCGGAGACUUGUAAAGCCUGAAAUCCUAAAAGGAUAUCCUGGCUUUAACCAAGUCUCUUGGAGAGCUAUUAUAAAAGGAUUAUAUUUAUUAAUCAAAUAAAAUAAGUCUGAUUUCUUGUUUGUUAUGCUACGACAGUUCCACUGAAUUAUUAGGACUUUGUAAUCCAUUGUGAGAAGUUAAUAAUUGAGAAAAUACAUUGUAAAUGGCAUCGUUGGACGGUGGAAAGAAGAUUGAAAAUGAGAUUUAUUGGACGGAGAUGAUGAUGUUAAUACAUCUGAAUAUAGUUUAGAAGUGGGAGGAUGAAAUUUUGAUGCUUCAGCAUAAGAAACACAACUGUGGGCCAUUGUUUCUUUAAUGGCUUUCUGACGUGCAUAUUCAGGACAUUUCUUACUAAUUGCUGAAUGAGAACUAUUACACAAGAUACAAGAAACAUUUUCCUCAUCUACUUCACAUUUAUCACCUGUAUGAUUUUGCCUGCAUUUAUAACACCGAGGAUUUGAACGACACUGCAUCUUGACAUGUCCGAACCUACAGCAGUUAUAGCAUUGGAUAGUGGGGUAAAUGUACAAAUCUACAGUUAAUGAUGUGUAAAACAUAAAUACUCUUUUUGGUAAUAUUUGUCCAUCAAAAGUAAUAACAAUGGUUUCAGUAUUAAUAAAACUUGGUUGUCCUUCAUUAA